AACGAACGCUGGCGGCAUGCCUAACACAUGCAAGUCGAACGAGACCUUCGGGUCUAGUGGCGCACGGGUGCGUAACACGUGGGAAUUUGCCUCGGGGUAUGGAAUAAACUCAGGGAAACUUGAGCUAAUACCAUAUAAUGUCUUCGGACCAAAGAUUUAUCGCCCUGAGAUAAGCCCGCGUAGGAUUAGCUAGUUGGUGGGGUAAAGGCUCACCAAGGCGACGAUCCUUAGCUGGUCUGAGAGGAUGAUCAGCCACACUGGGACUGAGACACGGCCCAGACUCCUACGGGAGGCAGCAGUGGGGAAUAUUGGACAAAUGGGCGAAAGCCUGAUCCAGCAAUGCCGCGUGAGUGAUGAAGGCCUCGGUUGU
rnacentral:rRNA from 1 species